ensembl:lncRNA
UGAUAAGAAUUUGCUACAACCAUGCCUUAAAUAUAAUGGUGAACCUUUUUGGGUAUUCUUCCAAAGCCAGUGGACAGAGUUGUGCAGUAACACAGUAAAGGAGGAUUUACAGAAAGAAAAUGUGAAUUAGAAUCUACCUCUUAUGCUUUCCGCAGUGAUGAUGUAGCUGGUCAUCUUUUGUGCCUUUGGACAUCUUGUUUCAGAUGCAGCCAGGAAAUCCUGAGAAAAGACUGAUAACUGAUUCUGUCCACUAUCUUGCAUCUUAUAGAGAGGCCUUCACUUGUGUAAAACAGGCAUAAAACGCUACCACAGUGAUGCAAGUGUAAAUGACAACGUGAGAGAGCCAUGUGUAAAAGCUUGUAAACGUUUGUAGUUGCCGGGCUUGCCUCACCGUGCCUGAGAGAUGUCUCCGCUGAGCUAUACUUUGGGUGUGCAUGUGAAAAUGAAUUCGCUUAGAAAACCAUACCAGGAGCUAAGACAGAGAAAGCCAAAGGUCUGGUUUGCUGAUGGAAGCCAAAGUAAGAGCUUCUUUGUCCUAGUUUCUGAUGAAGUAUUCUGGCCCCUGUUUUAUUUCCCCGUUCCUCCGUGUGGUCUUCCUGAGACCUCUUGGCAGAGAGAGGGUUUCACAGCCUGCAGUGUUAAUUCUGAGAAGUGUGAAGGAAGCUGAACCAUGCUGGAUGAUGUGACUCACCUUGGAGAAGUUGGUAUUUUCCAGCUGAGUGAAAGUGGAAAGUUUCAGCCUUGCUAGUCCAGAUGUUUUAAUGGACGUUGCUGCAGUAGAGAAACCUUUGUUUGUGCAUCCUGCUCAGCACUGAAUAGGAGAGUAACAAGUUACACAGUAGCAUAAAUGUUUAAUGAUUUAUGAUAAAAAAACCUUAGAUGGUGAGCAAAAUACUAAGUUAAUUGACUAUGGAGUCUUAAAUUCCUCCCAAAAUAGUAUUCCAGCCAAAUAUGGCUGAAAUAUCAGCUGUCAUCUUAUGAAUAUUUUAAAGAGGAUUCUAUUAUACACCUAGGGGUUCAUUCGCUUCAGUAAUGAGGACAGUUACCUCUAGGGAAAGGAAGCUGUAUUAUGCUUGCCACUUAACCAGGGGCUGGUUUGACAGGCAUCAGCUCAGAAUAUAUGUGUAUAUAUAGGGAAUCACAGCUGCUUGUGUCUAUCUCACCGAGCAGGCAAUGUUGUGCUGUACAAUACUUUGGAUUUCUAUCUGUGGAUCUAUGCAUGGCACUGAGUGGGAUUCAUACUAUUUUUAUUCCUGAGCUCAGUUGUUGAGGUGGAAUCCAUCACCUACUAAAUAUUAAAUCAGCAGUUUUUUUAAGGGGUAACACUAUCUCUGCUGACUUGAACAUCCUUAUGUGGCCCAGAGGAAAAGAGAAACAAAGACAAGAUGAGAAAACGAUCAUCCUUUGCAUUCUUCUUAAUAUUAAUGAUUUCUCUAAAGUUUUCAAACUGCUGAAGACAAGAAGUGAGACAGAACUUUCACAUGGGUAAGAAAUGACCCAGGUUAGAAAAAAAAAAGCAUAAAUUAUAAAAACAGCAGUGAAACUUCUGGAGUUUAAUUCUUUGUUGGAGAGAAUGGAGAAAAUGCAUCAGCUGAUUCUUUAAAACCAUUUUGUUUAAUUGUUUUAUUUUUUAAUUUAUUUAACUCAACCAAACAUGGUUGGAAAUUAUUAGGAAUGGGUCUAUUCAAAAAUAUUUGAAGAGUUCCAUGCAAGCAUGCUUUAUAAUAGUUUUUGCACUGAGUAUUGUUUCUGAAACCUGAUGUCUGCAAAUACUGAAGUUUUGAGAUAUCUGCCCAACUUGUAUGGUAUUGUCCAUCUUGUCAGACUGCAUGGAAUUGGAUAUAGUUACUUCUUUUUUUUUUUUUUUUUAAUUAAUGGCUGUACCUCAUAGGCGUCACUCAAAGGCAGCAAUUUGGCGGGUUUCUGAAUAAGCGUUUCUAAUAUCUCUCUAGGUUCCUAUAGGAGUACUCAUCAUGCACCACUGCACAACUAAAAGCUCAUCUCUAUUACUCCCAAAGACUGUGCACAAAAGUUACUUCUAUGAAAAAGGCCAGUCACCUCACCUCAGUCCCUAGAACUGUGAUAGAGCUACUGAUCCUGGAUACUAUUUCCAGACACAUGAAGGACAGGAAGGUAACUGGGAAUAGUCAGCAUGGAUUUGUGCAGGGGAAAUCAUGCUUAACCACUCAGUGCCUUCUGUGAUGAGAUGACUGGCUUGGUGGAUGAGGAGAGAGCAGUGGAUGUUGUUUACCUUCAGUAAGGCUUUUGACACUGUCUUCCGUAACACCCUUGUAGACAAGCUGAUGAAAUAAGGCUAGCUAAGCAGUCAGUGAAGUGGACUGAAAACAGGCGGAGCCGAUGGGCUCAGGGUUGUGAUCAGUGGCACGAAGUCUAGCUAGGGGUCAAUCACUAGUGGAGUACUCCAGCGUUGAUACUGGGUGCAAUAGUGUUCAGUGUCUUCAUUAGUGACCUAAAUGAUAGGACUGAGUGCACCUUCAGUAGGUUUGCAGACCUUACAAAACUGAGAGGAGUGACUAAUACCCCAGAGGGCUAGGCAUCGGAGGGAUUUUGACAGGCUGGAUAAAUGGGCAGCAAGGAACCUCAUAACGUUCAGUAAUGAUGGGAAUUGCAAAGUCCUGCACCUGGGGAGGAAUAGCCCCAUGCUCCAGUACGGGCUGAGGCCUGACCAGCUGGAGAGUAGCUUUGCAGAGAAGGACAUGGAGGUGCUCUUGGACAAGUUGAACAUGAGCCAGCAAAGCGCCCUUGUGGUAAAGAAGGCCAACGAUAUCCUGGGUUGCAUCAGGUAGACUGUUGCCAGUAGGUCGAGGGAGGUGGUCCUUCCCUGAGGGGAAGGACCUACUCAGCACUGGUGAAGCCACAUUAGGAGUGCUGUGACAAAUCCUGGGCUCCUCAGUACAAGAAAGACAUGAACAUACUGUAGUGAGUCCAGCAAAGGGCCACAAAGAUGAUUAAGGGCUGGAGCACUGACAGAUGCUCUCAUAUGAGAAGAGGUUCAGAGAGCUGGGACUCUUUAGCCUGGAGAAGGGAAGGCUCAGGGUGAUCCUACCCAUGCCACUCUUUUCAGUGGUGUCCAGUGACAAGGCCCAUCCCAGCUUAUCCUAUGGUAGAAGAAUUCCAGUGCUUUGUUUAAUUUCAAAUAAUUCUCUGUGUUUAGCCAGAGAAAUUAUCUAGCUUUCAAAAUACAAGUGAUUUGUUCUGAUACCCUUUGUUAGGUAAACUGACCCCUCAGAGGUGAGAAAGGGACAAAAUUAAGUUGAUGCGUAAUUUAAGGAGACUUGUUAAGUUGAUGCCUUUGCAUAAUUCCCAUACAUUUUUUAAGAGCAUGUUACAUAUACAUCAGUUUGUAUGAGUCACAGAGUUGCCACCAUGAAUGCUGUGUAAAAAAUGUGAAAAUCUUAGCUGCUCUGGGGUGGUAGGUGUGCAGGAAUGUUAAGAAAAAGGAAAAAAAUCUAAUAUGAGAAAGAGGAUGGCAUGAGUGAGACUAGGAUUUAAAAGGGUGUCUGGGCUUUAGUAUUCCCAGUCUAUAGAUCUGAAUCUUUAAGAGCUGUAUGGAUUCCUCCCCUGUAUAACUCCUCAUAUGCACGGGAUGUUUUAAUCACUGGCUGUUUACAGUUAUUUUUUGCACUUUGAGAUAAGGGUUAAAUAAUCUUAAAAUGACCAGCGAAUUAAUGGAAGAGUUAAAACAAUGUAAUCUUUGCUGCUUUAGCAGAGAUCAUGCGAAGCAGAGUGUGAUUGAUAUGAGCAGGGGUCAAAGAAUUCAGAGGCGUAUGGUGGCAAAAGCAAUAAACAGAUGAUGUAGAGGAAGACA